rnacentral:rRNA from 1 species
UACGUAGGGUGCAAGCGUUAAUCGGAAUUACUGGGCGUAAAGCGUGCGCAGGCGGCUUUGCAAGACAGAUGUGAAAUCCCCGGGCUCAACCUGGGAACUGCAUUUGUGACUGCAAGGCUAGAGUACGGCAGAGGGGGAUGGAAUUCCGCGUGUAGCAGUGAAAUGCGUAGAUAUGCGGAGGAACACCGAUGGCGAAGGCAAUCCCCUGGGCCUGUACUGACGCUCAUGCACAAAAGCGUGGGGAGCAAACAGG